GACGUAGGGCGCAAGCGUUGUCCGGAUUUAUUGGGCGUAAAGAGCUCGUAGGCGGCUUGUCGCGUCGACUGUGAAAUCCCGCGGCUCAACUGCGGGUCUGCAGUCGAUACGGGCAGGCUAGAGUUCGGUAGGGGGAGACUGGAAUUCCUGGUGUAGCGGUGAAAUGCGCAGAUAUCAGGAGGAACACCGGUGGCGAAGGCGCUGCUCUGGGCCGAAACUGACGCUGAGGAGCGAAAGCGUGGGUAGCAAACAGG
rnacentral:rRNA from 1 species